rnacentral:lncRNA from 1 species
GGCAGGGGGGUGCCCCUCACUCUCAGACAUGGUUCACUUCUGAUUUAGGGUUCUCUGGAGGUACAGAAUCAACAGGAAGUAUAAUUAUAAAAGGAGGACUUAUUAGAUUGGCUUACCCAACCAGAAGCUGGAUAGUCCACAAUGGCGGUUGGUAGGCUGGAGAGCUGGAAGAACCAGGAGCUGAGUAGUUCAAGAGGCUGAAGCCCCAGAACUAGAGGGAACAACGGUGCUAUCCUAGUCCCAGACGGAAGAUUUCUGGAGAUCCACUUCUGAAGAGUGAAGAAGUGAGUCCAGUAUCCUCAGAGGAUCACAGAAGCAAUCAAGAACCCAUCCAAGAAGAAUCAGCUAGCAUCUCUGCUGUUUUCUUCUUCUAGUUUUUAUUCCAUCCAAGCCAUCAUCCUAUCAGAUGGUGCUGCCCACGCUUAGGGAGGGUCUCCAUUUCAGUUGGCUAUCCCACAUGCCAAUCAUUCCUAGACACAACCUCAUUGACACACCCAGGAGCCUCUUAAUCAUUGGCAUAUCUUAAUCCAAUCAAGUUGACAAUUAACCAUUACAGCUUCUCUCUCCCACCAGAAGCUAAAGGAGCACUGGGUCCUCAAGUUCUGUGUAGAAAGCCUUGGGAGAACUGGGUUGAAUUCCAGUUUUCUUUUAUCUUAACUCAUUCAGACUUGAAGAAAAGGGCAGAAAGCCUAGAAUGAGGGAGUGAUAGUGGAGCAAAGGAACACUGAUGUUUUCUGAAGCCCAGUCAGAGAAAAUGAUCCUUUUGUAUUUGUCUUAUUCUGCAUGUAGCUUUAGCGAAUUUUUUCAUUCUAAAUCGUCCUUAAAAAGUGAGUCUCUUGGGCCGGGUUUGUGGCUCAGUGGUGGAGCGCUUGCCUAGCAUGUGUGAGGCACUGGAUUUGAUCCCCAGCACCAUAUAAACAAAUUAAAUAAACAAAAUAAAGGUAGUGUGUCCACCUACAACUAAAAAAAUUUAAAAAGCAACUCUUUUUUGUUUUGGAAGGGGGGGAUACCAGGGAUUGAACUCUGGGGUGCUCCAACACCAAGCCACACCCCCAGCCCUAUUUUGUGUUUUACUUAGAGACAGGCCCUCAUGGAGUUGCUUAGGGCCUCAUUUCUGCUGAGGCUGGCUUUGAACUAGCAAUCCUCCUGCCUCAGCCCCUUGAGCCACUGGGAUAAUAGGCAUGCGCCACCACAUCCAGCAAGUGAGUCUCUUUUUAAUCCUCCAAAGCACUAAAGGCAUGGGGGAAAUGGUGGGUUUAACUAUGUCAAACGUAAGUAUUUCUGUUCAACAAAUGGCAGACCAAGAGGGCAGUGACUAAAAUUGAAAUUUUCAACAAGAAAAAGGAAAUCCAAAAGAAAAAUUAGCUAUGCCAGUGGUGCACAGCAAAAGCCACCACCCUAUGCUCCUCUGAAGUGUUGACAAUGAGGUGGGGGACAGUAGCUUAGGUGUUUUGUUGGUGUCGACUGCUCCAUGGCACCCUGAAAAGCAAGCUGGCAGUAUAUUUAAGUAAGUGGUGAAGGGUCCCUGACCCAGAGAGCACUGAAGUGUGUUCCCCAGAGAAAUUUCUCCCCAGGUCCACAAAGGGAUGUGUGAAGUGAUGCUCUGGCAAUGUUUGGCAGUCACCGUGUUGGGAGCCAGCAAGGUCUUGGGUAAUUAAAAGGAGACUUUGCAUACUAUGGAAUACUGCGCAAACAGAAAGGAGAGCUAGAAGCAUGUACAGAAAAAUGGAUAAUGGCUCUUAAAAAUAUUGUUGAAUAUUGUAAGAAAUGAGAUUUGUAGCUUAACGCCAUGUGUGUAAAUGUCAGGCACACAGCACAGUAUGUCUUACAAGGAUAUGUGCAUUUGACAGUGGCUGCUGUAUUGAGUCAGAAUUUAAAUGGGCUGUAAGUGUAAAUAUAUACCAGAUGUCAAAGAAAAAGUUAAGUAUCUCAAUUUGUUUAUCAUAGUUAUGUG